AGUAGUUUGACUCCGUGGCUACGAGACGACGCUGGCGGCGUGCUUAACACAUGCAAGUCGAACGAUGAAGCCCCUUCGGGGGUGGAUUAGUGGCGAACGGGUGAGUAACACGUGGGCAAUCUGCCCUGCACUCUGGGACAAGCCCUGGAAACGGGGUCUAAUACCGGAUACGACACAGGGAGGCAUCUCCUCUGUGUGGAAAGCUCCGGCGGUGCAGGAUGAGCCCGCGGCCUAUCAGCUUGUUGGUGAGGUAACGGCUCACCAAGGCGACGACGGGUAGCCGGCCUGAGAGGGCGACCGGCCACACUGGGACUGAGACACGGCCCAGACUCCUACGGGAGGCAGCAGUGGGGAAUAUUGCACAAUGGGCGCAAGCCUGAUGCAGCGGCGCCGCGUGAGGGAUGACGGCCUUCGGGUUGUAAACCUCUUUCAGCAGGGAAGAAGCGCAAGUGACGGUACCUGCAGAAGAAGCGCCGGCUAACUACGUG
rnacentral:rRNA from 1 species